rfam:Salmo salar isolate Sally breed double haploid chromosome ssa06, whole genome shotgun sequence.
GUUUCUAUAGUGUAGUGGAUAUCACGUUCGCUUUACACGCGAAAGGUCCUUGGUUCGAAACCGGGCUGAAACA